GUUGCAGGGUAUAGACCCGAAACCCGGUGAUCUAGCCAUGGGCAGGUUGAAGGUUGGGUAACACUAACUGGAGGACCGAACCGACUAAUGUUGAAAAAUUAGCGGAUGACCUGUGGCUGGGGGUGAAAGGCCAAUCAAACCGGGAGAUAGCUGGUUCUCCCCGAAAGCUAUUUAGGUAGCGCCUCGUGAAUUCAUCUCCGGGGGUAGAGCACUGUUUCGGCUAGGGGGCCAUCCCGGCUUACCAACCCGAUGCAAACUGCGAAUACCGGAGAAUGUUAUCACGGGAGACACACGGCGGGUGCUAACGUCCGUCGUGAAGAGGGAAACAACCCAGACCGCCAGCUAAGGUCCCAAAGUCAUGGUUAAGUGGGAAACGAUGUGGGAAGGCCCAGACAGCCAGGAUGUUGGCUUAGAAGCAGCCAUCAUUUAAAGAAAGCGUAAUAGCUCACUGGUCGAGUCGGCCUGCGCGGAAGAUGUAACGGGGCUAAACCAUGCACCGAAGCUGCGGCAGCGAACGUAUCACUUAAAGCGAUUCAGCGGGUUACGAUUGACGGAGCGAAGCGACGUCAAAGCGUAUACAAAGUCGAGUCGGUUUAAGGAUACGUUCGUUGGGUAGGGGAGCGUUCUGUAAGCCCGUGAAGGUGGCCUGUGAGGGUUGCUGGAGGUAUCAGAAGUGCGAAU
rnacentral:rRNA from 1 species